rnacentral:lncRNA from 10 species
GGGGCGGGCACUGGGGAGCCACCACCCGGCGGGCGCGGGAGUCGCAGGAGCAGCGGCCGCAGUGGCCGCAGGGUGCCCGGUCGCCGCCCCCUCCGCCCGCAGUUCCCGGGGCCUGAGCCUCCGCGAGCCGGGAUAGGACCGAGUGGCGGGGCUCGGAGCCGCCUCGGCAGGCGCGGCCCUUCCCUCCCUGCAGGGAUUCCCGUCCUCUCGGGUCCCGCUGCCCCGCCCCGACUGCGGACGGAGUGGAUGGGGUGCACCGCCUCAGACCCGCUUCCUGGGGUCGCGAACUUCCCGGGCCCCAAGGUCCCUGCCACCUCUUCCAAAUGCUGGAGGACUACGCACUUCUACAAAAUGUUCAUCUAUAAUUGUUCAUCAGACCAGGCUAAAUAAGGAUAAUGGCACAAAAGAAAAAUAAGACCCAAAUGGAGACAUCAACCACAGACACCUGGCAAAAAAUCUUCUGCUAAAACCUGAUUUUGUGACAAAAUGCUGCCUUAUCUUGCUGAUGAUUUCAUGGACAAUAAAAGGAAAGAAGAUGAAGAAGAACAUUCUAAGGUCCCUAACCUUUGCACUUUGCUGCUCCGAUUGAAUGUCAAAGUCGACAAGUGUCAAUAAUGGAAUUUGAAUGCUUGUUGGUUUGUCUGUGCAACAGCAGUUCUAUCAAUGCUCAGAACGUCUUGGUCUUCCUUUAUUUUUUCUUUCAAUACAUGUUCAUCUAGAUUUGACCUUCCAAAUUGGACUUUUAAAAAAUCACUUAUUUGGCCAGGCGCAAUGGCUCACACCUGUAAUCCAAGCACUUUGGGAGGCCAGUUCGAGACCAGCCUGGACAACAUGGUGAAAACCUGUCUCUACUAAAAAUGCCAAAUUUCCCAGCACUUUGGGAGGCUGAGGUGGGUGGAUCACGAGGUCAGGAGAUCGAGACCAUCCUGGCUAACACGGUGAAACCCCGUCUCUACUAAAAAUACAAAAAAAUUAGCCGGGCGUGGUGGCAGGCGCCUGUAGUCCCAGCUACUCAGGAGGCUGAGGGAGGAGAAUGGCAUAAACCCAG